GCGGAGCGGAGCUGCGGUUGUUUAGGGACCUUUGACCUUCCGCUCCCAACGGAGACUUCACCGGGACUCGUCUCCUAACCUUGGUGUUGUCUGCAGGAUCUUGGAAGUGAUGGAAGAUGCACCAUUUCUUACUAUUAAUACAAAUGCUGAGUCCUACCAUAAAAAGGUAAACCUUUGUCCUAAAAUAGUCUGGCUGACAGGUUGCAGAGUUGGAAAAGACUAAACCUGACAAAAUCCUUCCAGAGGAUAAGAAGAGGCAACGGAGGAGAACACUGUCUCACCAAGGGAUCUCUGGCUGGAAAGAUCCGAUCUAAGCAUCAGAACCUGCAACAUGCUGUAGCCUCCAAGUCUGUGACGAUGGUGUCAUUGCUCAGUGGGAGACCAAUGCACUGAAUGGCAUGAAAGUACGUACAAGCAACAAGCCUGGGCUCCUCAAAAGUAAAGGGAUUGCUCAAGUGGAUCACUAAGAGCAAAAUUUCAUGGGAAGUCAUGCCUCCAUUUUCAGUAAUUGGAUACCAACCUUUGCUAGUGUGAUUUUUUAGCAGAGUUGCUGCAUUUAGUCCAUGGCACUUGGUUGUUCACCUCUGUGCAGUGUUGUUGGAAAAUGAACACUGAGAGAGAUGAAUAAGAUUUGACAGAUGUUUCAAGAUGUGUGUGUGUGUAUGUGUGUGUGUGUGCAGGAGCAAAUAUUCAGGAAAACAAGGGCUGAUGAAUAGCUUUUUGUCUCAAUUUUAAGUUAAUAUACUUGUGUUAAAAUUGAUUACAGUCUCUGCCAAAAGGUCCCUGCUUCCAGAAUAGUUAAUGUUGGGGAACACUAUCUUCUUACAGAUGUUCACUCAUUAGGGACAUAUUAGCUGCACUAAUCUUGGAUACUCUCUAAUACCAGGACUCCAUAACCAUUGCUGAAAAUUCUGGAUGUGAAAUCCACAUAUCGGAGGGUUGAAGAAGAUUGACUGUAUUUUUACAUUCAAAAUGUUAAUGAUGCAAGUGUCAUCAAUAAACAACU